rnacentral:lncRNA from 1 species
GUGAAAUAGUGAAAUAACAAUUCACUUUUUUCAGCCAAAAAGGUUCAAUUUUGUCAAAUUACGCUAAGAAACAUUGAUAAUUAGCUAUUCACUUGCAAGUGAAUGAGUCGACCUCUUUAAAUCCGUAUUUAUGUGAACCUCAAGUUAACCCCAAGCUAGAGAUUGACAACGCAUUCAUUGUACGUGUACUGGUUAUUUAAAGAAAAAGAAUGUCAACAAUGAAAGUGAAACUACGGUAAAUCAUUUGAUUACUAAGUCGAUGCACAUAAAAUCAAUCUUAUACGGUUGAAAACAAUGAGAAACAUCUAUUUUUAAUCUAUAAAAUAAAAUCAAACAGACCUAUAAAAAUCCAAUUGCACGUGUUGGUUUAAUCAUUAAUAUCCUUAUUUAUGUUUACAUCGCUUAUAUGGUCAUCUGAGGUCAAAUUGAUAGUUAAUUAGAUGGCGUCUGGAAUAAAAUACACACGAAACGAACCUAUAUAUUAUCUACCC